AGUGAACGCUGGCGGUAGGCCUAACACAUGCAAGUCGAACGGCAGCACAGAGGAGCUUGCUCCUUAGGUGGCGAGUGGCGGACGGGUGAGGAAUACAUCGGAAUCUACUCUGUCGUGGGGGAUAACGUAGGGAAACUUACGCUAAUACCGCAUACGACCUACGGGUGAAAGCAGGGGAUCUUCGGACCUUGCGCGAUUGAAUGAGCCGAUGUCGGAUUAGCUAGUUGGCGGGGUAAAGGCCCACCAAGGCGACGAUCCGUAGCUGGUCUGAGGGGAUGCUCAGCCACACUGGAACUGAGACACGGUCCAGACUCCUAAGGGAGGCAGCAGUGGGGAAUAUUGGACAAUGGGCGCAAGCCUGAUCCAGCCAUACCGCGUGGGUGAAGAAGGCCUUCGGGUUGUAAAGCCCUUUUGUUGGGAAAGAAAUCCAUCUGGUUAAUACCCGGGUGGGAUGACGGUACCCAAAGGAUAAGCACCGGCUAACUUCGUGCCAGCCGCCGCCGUAA
rnacentral:rRNA from 1 species